AACGAACGCUGGCGGCAUGCCUAACACAUGCAAGUCGAACGAGACCUUCGGGUCUAGUGGCGCACGGGUGCGUAACGCGUGGGAACCUGCCCUUAGGUUAGGAGUAACUCCCCGAAAGGGGUGCUAAUACCGGAUAAUGUCUUCGCACCAAAGAUUUAUCGCCUUUGGAUGGGCCCGCGUUGGUUUAGCUAGUUGGUAGGGUACAAGCCUGCCAAGGCGACGAUCCAUAGCUGGUCUGUUAGGAUGAUCAUCCACACUGGGACUGAGACACGGACCAGACUCCUACGGGAAGCAGCAGUGGGGAAUAUUGGGCAAUGGGCGAAAGCCUGAUCCAGCAGUGCGGCGUGAGUGAUGAAGGCCUUAGGGUUGUAAAGCUCUUUUACCCGAGAUGAUAAUGACAGUACCGGGAGAAUAAGCUCCGGCUAACUCCGUG
rnacentral:rRNA from 1 species